UACGUAGGGUGCAAGCGUUGUCCGGAAUUAUUGGGCGUAAAGAGCUUGUAGGCGGUCUGUCGCGUCGGCUGUGAAAACCCGGAGCUCAACUCCGGGCCUGCAGUCGAUACGGGCAAACUAGAGUACUGCAGGGGAGACUGGAAUUCCUGGUGUAGCGGUGAAAUGCGCAGAUAUCAGGAGGAACACCGGUGGCGAAGGCGGGUCUCUGGGCAGUAACUGACGCUGAGGAGCGAAAGCGUGGGGAGCGAACAGG
rnacentral:rRNA from 1 species